GGGUUAGUAGGCUGGUCAUGCCUCCGGUAUGUACUGGUCUCACUGAUUCCUCCCUCCUGACGAACCUUAAUGCCAUUAAUUUGGUGUUUUGGGAAAUUUGGACUGUUACUUUGAAAAAAUUAGAGUGUUUAAAGCAAGCUAACGCUUGAAUACAUUAGCAUGGAAUAAUGAAAUAGGACGUUCGAUCCUAUUUUGUUGGUUUCUAGGAUUGACGUAAUGAUUAAUAGGGAUAGUUG
rnacentral:rRNA from 2 species